UAUUGUAUAUUCUAUCACAUCAGUGAAUGUAUAUUCUCUCAUAACUGUGCAUGUAUAUUCUGUCGUAACAACAACAUGACUUUUAAUUAUUUGUCGCUUCACUCGGACUGCUUUUGUAGGCGUGCACGCGCUCCCUGCGCACACCUGUUAAUGAGACCAGUGUGCUGACCCACCUUGUAAAGGCCGAAGAAGCCCAGGUCUCGGACAACACUCAGCGCGCUGACCCUGGCGCCCGUGGUGAUCUCUCCCGCCACCUGCAGGCGGAUCUUCACGAUCUCCAGGGGAUUGGUGAAAAUCACCUGGGAGCCUCCGGCCUGCGGUCAACAACACGAGAAGCGAGGUGAGAGAGGGUCUUCGUCUAAAGCUAGCGAUGACGCGUCAGCAUUUUCCUCAACGGUCACAAGACAAAAGCCACUUUUCAUGGCGGCUGCGAUCUCACGUGGUCAUCGAAGCAGGCAUUGAUGGAGCGACAGGGGUCAGGUCAGCGCGGCCGUGCUGGCGAGGUCGUGGCCCUUUUGCCCCCUCGGCCCCCCCUGUGGCGGAGGUGAGCAGCCUCGCCCCGCACGCUUCCCAAUUUCAGCCUCAUUCCCAAGGGGGAAGAGCGCUGACUCCCCCCCGGACGGCUGGGGGUCCGGACGCACAAGCGCCCCCGAGGCUCGACGCCCUAUGACUCAGGCACAUUCAUCACCUCCGCCCCCAAAAACUAAUCAUGCCCCAGGAUGGCCGCUGGUGACAUUCAGGGCAGGGGUCUUAUCUGUAAACAUCCGUGCUGGAUCUAAAAAAAGCUUCAGCACAUGAAGUCAUUUUUAAAGAGCGGGGGCGGCAUCCGCUUCUCUGAAGAUGGAUGCCCUCGCUUUUAUCUUCCUCGCUUCUCUGAUGCCAGCCAUCAUUUGGCAGUCUUUCAGAGGAAACCAAAAAAAAAAAAAAAAGUGGGUGCGGUAAAUCCUAUGGGAAGGAAUCAAAGAGGGCCUGAGAUGGGAAGUAUCCUUUUCAGUUUGGGAAAGACACUUCCUGUGGCGUUGGCGGCCUGCAGCUGAGGGCCAAGCAGGACGCUGUCAGACUCAAUCACAAGUGAGCCAAAACUGGCUUCAUCCAGGACCCCCGCUCCAAUUACACCUUGACAGGGGUCGCGACCCCGCAGACCUCGCGCUUCUCCGGCAGCAACCUGCAGGGCUCUUCUGCCCGCAGUCAAAGUCAUCCACAAGAUGUUUGCUGUUCUGGUUAAAGUUUGCACGCCAUCACACUGAGAGCUUGUUUGCAUUGUUGCAGCUCCAGGAGAGUGCAAACUAUCUGUGGGAUGCACAAGCAACUUAGCAGGCAAGGAACACCUUUCAAGCCAAAUACAGCAAUAAUAAUCUUGCAUAAUAGCUUCAGAAGCUUCUGCUGAUAAAAUGAACAAAUAAUAUCAGCGUCAUUUUUCUUUAGAGCGUACACCUUGAUCACCUUUGAAAUAAUCCAAAUAGGCUUUCCUCCCACAUCUGCUGGCAUUUUCAGUUUUCAUGACUAAUAGUACAAACUCCGUUUCCAUACGAGUUGGGAAAUUGUGUUAGAUGUAAAUAUAAACAGAAUACAAUGAUUUGCAAAUCCUUUUCAAUCCAUAUUCAGUUGAAUAUGCUACAAAGACAACAUAUUUGAUGUUCAAACUCAUAAAUAUUUUUUUUUUUUGCAAAUAAUCAUUAACUUUUGAAUUUGAUGCCAGCAACACGUGACAAAGAAGUUGGGAAAGGUGGCCAUAAAUACUGAUAAAGUUGAGGAAUGCUCAUCAAACACUUAUGUGGAACAUCCCACAGGUGUGCAGGCUAAUUGGGAACAGGUGGGUGCCAUGAUUGGGUAUAAAAGCAGCUUCCAUGAAAUGCUCAGUCUUCCACAAAGAAGGAUGGGGCGAGGUACACCCCUUUGUAAGCAAAUUGUCAAAGAGUUUUAGAACAUUUCUCAUUUCCAGGAAUUUAAGAAUUUUGAAAUCGUAUAAAGGUAAGAAAUUUAAGAGCUAUUCAGUAGGAUUUAAGGUCCAAGCUAUUGAAUAUGCUAAAAAGAACAGUAAGCAGCUAUGUUUUAUUAAUAUACCGUAGCUGCGUGUGUCAAAUAUGAGUCAUUAAAUGACUCCCGCCUCCUGGUGGUAGAGGGCGCUAGUGAUCCUUCUUGAGACUACUCGGCUGCAGAAGAAGUGACAACAAGCAGCGAUCGUUCAUUUAAUUUUUCUCCUCUCGCUUGCACUUUUAACAUGGAGGAUUACAUAUCUAAAAUAAAACAGUUUUCUAAACUGGACUUUCAAUGGAAGCAGGAGGUAAUAAAGGACGAUCUCCAUCGAGACAGAGAGACUUUUAAAACUGAAGAAAGAUAAGGAAGACUUCUAUAAACAAGUUUUUGAUGCUUUUGAUCAGAAGGAGCUGCGCAUGGACUUCAUUUAUAAGUAAAGUUGUAAAAGUACCUAUGCGGCCAGUUACUGUAUGUCAGAGACUCUAGUGUGUCACUUCCUUCCAGUCUAAUUGGAUAAAGAUUC